UGAACAUCCCUGGACUUCACGUCUACUGGCAGCAGCGAUAUACAUAUCGAUUAUGCUAUCAUUUAAGGUUAUCUAUUUUCAGCAUUUUCAGUUAUAGGUGUAAUUUUCUUCAGUUCCACAACAUCCUUCAGAGUUCAGGGUUCAGCGUUCAGUGAAUCCUGGUGUGUUGUCUGUGUGAGAUGGUAACGGGUUUGCAAGCGGCCCGUUAGGUUUGCAAACAAUCGCUUAAAGGUCCAAGAGGGAGAGGCAGAAUUAGACCUGAAACCGGAACGAAAACAUAAGUUUUUGAAGACUGGGAACUGACUAAAAUUACAACGAAUACAAAGUGUCAAAAACUGAUAGGACUAAAAACGACCUGAACCAAAUGGAAAAACACACGACUGACAUUUUAUUUUAUAGAACAAAAAGUGGUUAUGUGCCUUCAAAUUUGGUUACCUUGAGGUGUGCCAAAUUUUGCGGUGGUGGCUCCAACACUCAGGGAAACACUGGGGCAAGGAUCCCGUGGGAUGGAUCUGACUUUUUGAUUUUGUAUAAUCUUCACUAUAAUAGGUACCAGUCACAACACUUGGAGUUCUAUUGAUGGACAGGAGUGGGAGAAAGCCACUAUUAUUGGUUUCCACAUCUGGACUCCUCGUCAGGACUCUUAUGUCCGCAGUAUCAUUCUACCUCAAGAUUCACGGGAUAUUCCGGGAGCAAGCCCCAAUCGUCGCGCUCACCAGCAUAUUGGUGCACCUGAAAAGCCUCUUUGUAUGACUGAAACAGGUCUACAUUGCAAGCAGAUAAUGUAACAGAUCUUCCCCAUUAAUAUGAAAGGAAUCGGUGGAAGCUUCGUGACUCUGGUGAACUGGUUGACUUCAUUAGCAGUUUCUUUCGCCUUCAACUUCCUCAUGAGCUGGAGUUCUUCAGGAACAUUCUUCUUCUUCGCCUUCGAUUGCGCCAUGGCCAUUCUCUUCAUUGUGAAGAUCGUGCCGGAGACAAAAGGUAAGGCCUUGGAAGAGAUUCAGGGUUCGAUAAACUGGGACACAUGAGUGGCCUGGAGAACCAUGGCAGUUGUGUUCAUUGUGAAGAUCUUGCCCGGGACAAAAGGCAAGCCAUUGGAAGAGACUCAGCCUUUGAUAAACUGCGGCAUAUGCGUGGUUUCGAGGAAGUUAGAUGACGCAUUUUUCUUUGCCCACACAAUCUAAAAGAAGAUGGGUAUCAGGAUAUCUAAAAGGUGCAGAAGACUUCGAUGUUGGUGUAUCCUUCAAGAGGAUUUGCAACUGCCUCCUCCUCUAUUAGAUGAGAUCUGUCAAAACAGUAAGUAAAAUAUAUAGUCAAACAAAAGGGAGUGAAUUUUCAUCUGCUGAUGCCAUCAGCUGAGAGCAACGGACAUAUGCAGUCAGACAUGUUACAUAAACUAAUACUCCUAAAAGAGUGU